rnacentral:rRNA from 1 species
UACGUAGGGGUCGAGCGUUGUCCGGACUUACUGGGCGUAAAGCGUGGGUAGGUGGUCGGUGAUGUGCCGUGUGAAAGCCCCGCGUUCAUCGGGGGGAGGUCGCGGUAGACACAUUGACUUGAGGCAUACAGAGGGCCGUGGAAUUCCCGGUGUAGUGGUGAAAUGCGUAGAGAUCAGGCGGAACACCCGUGGCGAAGGCGGCCAGCUGGGCCGUCCCUGACGCUGAGGCGCGAAGGCGUGGGGAGCGAACGGG